GACGAACGCUGGCGGCGUGCUUAACACAUGCAAGUCGAGCGGUAAGGCCCUUUCGGGGGUACACGAGCGGCGAACGGGUGAGUAACACGUGGGUGACCUGCCCUCAGCUCUGGGAUAAGCCUGGGAAACUGGGUCUAAUACUGGAUAUGACUCCACGGUGCAUGUCGUGGGGUGGAAAGCCUUGUGCGGCUGAGGAUGGGCCCGCGGCCUAUCAGCUUGUUGGUGGGGUGANGGCCUACCAAGGCGACGACGGGUAGCCGGCCUGAGAGGGCGACCGGCCACACUGGGACUGAGACACGGGCCCAGACUCCUACGGGAGGCAGCAGUGGGGAAUCUUGCGCAAUGGGCGAAAGCCUGACGCAGCGACGCCGCGUGAGGGAUGACGGCCUCGGUUGUAAC
rnacentral:rRNA from 1 species